AAAAAAAAUCUAUUCAGAAAUUAUUACUCCAAUAUCUUUAAUAAGUAGUAAUAAUAGUAAUUAAUAUACUUAAUCCUCAUUUUUUUAUAAAUGAGAAGUCCGAAUGUUGCUAAUUUUUAAUAAAUGUACUUAAUUGACAACAUUAUUAACAAUUAAUAAAAAUUCUAUUGUUUAUGUUGCGACAGAACGAUCUUGAAUCCACCAUCGAGAUUAAAUUAAAAAAAUAAAAUAACAAACAUUUUCGCAUUUGAUUGAUCAAUUCGAGUACACUAUUUUCGCAUCGUCUUGUACAUGAACGGAUACUAAUCAAUCAUUUUAACGAUUAGUAGUAGCACUUUAUGACCAAGGCACUAAUGCUGCUGUUGAAAGGGUAUUUUUACUAGGGAAUGAUUCUUGGAGCAGUGAGAAGUCGCAACUUUCUGUAAAAACAUUAUUUGCCAUCUUAACAGUCAAAUUUAAUAUGCAAAAAGAAAGUUGUUCGGAUGAGGCUACAUUAUUAGACGAACAUCCUCAUUUAGCAAAAAAAUCCACUCCGAAGAAAAAUAUGUUUUUAAAAGUAAAUAAAGUAUUUAUCGUUU